UAGCAUAGGAAUCCCAAUCCAGAAUCCCAAACACUCUCUAUCAAAAUCUGUUGUAGCUGAACUAGGGUUUUUUGCGUUCUCUAUCAAAAUCUGAAGUAGCUGAGCUAGGGUUUUUUGUUCAUCUUCUCUCUCUACUCUCCUUCAUCGUCUUUCUCUAGAUUUCUCUGAGCUAGGGUUGUUCACGAUGGUGGGUUUCGAAGUAGGUGCUGUGCCGUUCAACUCAGAGGGCUGGGGUCCACCGGAAACCUCCUCCCCUCUCCUCUCCAACCACCCCGUCAACGUCCCUUUCGCCCCAUUCUCUCGCUCCGACAAGCUCGGCAGAAUCGCCGACUGGACCCGAAACUACAACCCGAACCGCAACCAAAACAACCCCCGGAACGCCGCCGACUCCGUCUUCGACUUCACCGGUGAUGACACCCUCGGCGCCGUCGCCGCCGACGAGGACUCCUCCUUCCGCCUCGUCGACGGCAAGCCUCCGCCGCGCCCCAAGUUCGGCCCCAAAUGGCGGUUCCAGCAGCAGCGCAACCAGCUCCCCCAACGCCGCGACGAGGAGGUCGAGGCCAGGAAGCGCGAGGCUGAGAAGGAGCGCGCUCGCCGCGAUCGCCUCUACCACCUCAACCGCUCCGGCGGCAACGCGCCGCGCCGCGAGGCCGCCGCCUUCAAAUCCUCCGUCGAUAUUCAGCCGGAGUGGAACAUGCUCGACCAGAUACCUUUCUCGACGUUCACCAAGCUCUCCUUCUCCGUCCCCGAACCGGAGGAUCUCCUACUCUGCGGCGGGCUCGAGUUCUACGACCGAUCCUACGAUCGGGUCACGCCGAGGAACGAGCGACGUCUCGAGCGGUUCAAGAAUCGAAAUUUUUUCAAGGUCACCACCACCGACGACCCUGUUAUCCGCCGACUCGCCAACGAGGACAAGGCCACGGUUUUCGCCACCGAUUCAAUUCUCUCGACUCUGAUGUGCGCUCCGAGGUCAGUGUACUCUUGGGAUAUUGUGAUUCAGCGAGUUGGGAACAAAUUGUUCUUUGAUAAACGAGAUGGGUCACAGCUAGAUUUGCUUUCUGUUCAUGAAACAUCCCAAGAACCGUUGCCUGAAGCCAAGGAUGAUAUCAAUUCCGCGCAUUCAUUGAGUGUUGAGGCUGCUUAUAUUAACCAGAAUUUCUCUCAGCAGGUUCUUAUUAGGGAUGGGAAUAAGGUGACCUUCGAAGAGCCGAACCCAUUCGCGAAUGAGGGCGAAGAGGUUGCCCCUGUUGGGUAUAGGUACAGAAGGUGGAAGCUUGAUGAUGAAAUGUAUCUUGUGGCUCGGUGUGAGGUUCAGAGUGUUGUUGAGGUUAACGAAAAGAGGUCGUUUCUUACUUUGAAUGCCCUUAAUGAGUUUGAUCCCAAGUACUCUGGUGUUGAUUGGAGGCAGAAGUUGGAGACUCAGAGAGGUGCGGUUUUGGCGACCGAGUUGAAGAACAAUGCUAACAAAUUGGCUAAGUGGACUGCUCAGUCUCUGUUGGCGAGUGCCGAUAUGAUGAAGUUGGGUUAUGUUUCUAGGGUUCAUCCUCGUGAUCAUUUUAACCAUGUUAUAUUGGCUGUGGUUGGAUAUAAGCCGAGGGACUUUGCGGCACAAAUCAAUUUGAACACUUCGAAUAUGUGGGGUAUUGUGAAGUCUAUUGUGGACUUGUGCAUGAAAUUGAAUGAGGGGAAGUAUGUGCUUGUGAAGGAUCCGUCAAAGCCACAAGUGAGGAUUUAUGAGGUUCCAGCUGAUGCAUUUGAGAAUGAUUAUGUGGAGGAACCACUGCCAGAGGAUGAACAGGUGCAGCCACCUGCAGAGAAUGAGGAUGGUGGGGAAGCAAAUGCAGCUACAAGUGAGGUGGAGGCCAAAGAGAUUAAAGCCGAGGCUUGAAGGAUAAUGACUGCUGUGCUGAGAUUUCAAAUAUAUCAACUUGGUAGCAAUGGGAAGAGGCAGAAUAGAAAGUUCCGAGUUGUAACGGGUCGGGAUGCUCUGCGGUUAGAUUCAAAAACUUAAAAGCUUUGUGGUGCUAACAUCCGGGUCUUUGUUUCUGGAUGCGGCAAUUACAAUGUUGACUUACUAUUUUUUAUUAUAUUCACCCUAAAAAAAAGGGAUUUACAUGGAGUUCAAUAA